GGAAACUUUUUGUGACCAUUCGUCUGCCACGUAAGCCUGCUGCUAGUCCUCACUCUGCCUCUCAGCGAGAAUUCUCUCGUACUGAGGAGAUAACCUCUGGACAAUGCUGUUACAACUCUGUUACAACCUCCACACAACGUCUCUCCGCUCCAAUGGACUGUCAUGGACAGACAACAGGAGUCUACCUGAAUCAACACUUCUCUGCUGGCAGAGGAAAGAUGAGAGAGGAGAGAGGAGAGAGAGGGAAAGGGGAGAGAGGGGGAGAGAGAGGGAGAGAGGGAAAGAGGGAAAGAGGGGGAGAGAGAGGGAGAGAGGGAAAGAGGAGAGAGGGGGAGAGGGAGAGAGGAGAGAGGGAGAGGGAGAGAGGAGAGAGGGAGACAGGGAGUUGGAGGGUGAAAAGGGGACUUCUCUCCGGAGAGACGCCAAGAGGUGAAAGAGGGAGAGAGGAGACGGAGAGCGAGAGUCCAUUGACCAACCCAUCCAGAACCCUCAAAAUGGACUAGACAAGACCUCACCUUCUUUCUACACUGGGCAGAAAUCCCUCUUCUCUCCUGAGCCCACGGGAUUGGUCAAAUAGCUAUUUUGGAUACAGUGCAGAUAACACAGUGAGUAGUGUGUAUGUUUAGGUGUGUUCAGUGUCUACGUGUGUGUGUGUUUGUGUGUGUGUGUGUUCAGUGUCUACAUAUGUGUGUGAGCGACUGUGUCUGCGUGUGUGUGCGUGAGUGAGUGUGUGCAUAUAAGUGUGCGUGCGUGUCUCUGCAGUGUGUGUGUGUGUGUGUGUGUGUGUGUGUGUGUGUGUGUGUGUGUGUGUGUGUGUGUGUGUGUGUGUGUGUGUGUGUGUGUGUGUGUGUGUGUGUGUGUGUGUGUGUGUGUGUGUGCAGUAUGUGUGAGUGUUUACAUGUAUAUAUGUGUACUUCCUUCACCCUCCUCCCUCGUGGACCAGCAGCCCGCCCCGCCUGCCCAGUGUUCAGACUACCUGUUCAGGAAGUAGUGGUUGCACAGUAGUCUGCACAUUGGUUAGGCUGGGUGGGGAAGCGCAAGAAUCAGGACACAGAGAGACAGCUAGCCAGUGGGUGACAGCAGCCAAAAAGACCAUGGCACUACUCUGGGCAAGCCUGGCACAGCAUUAAGAAUCCGAACCACAGCCUCAACCACAGAAACAGGCCAUGCCCAACUAUAUACCUGUCUAGUACUGUUGUGUUCUGUUCUGAGUUGAUGACUGACUGUAUGUCCUGAGAAAUUGAAAUACAGUUUUUUUGAAGAUGAGUCUGAGCCGACUUAGUGUCUAAGACGUCUGCCAGGUCCAAUCCAGAAAUGGUACUUUGUAUUUUGUAAAUAUUGUCAUGGGCAAGAAUUAAAACUUCAGAUUUCAACUUUGCAUAAGACUGUACAUGCUAUAUAAUUAAAAUGUUACGGUUGAAUGGGAAACACUGGUAUUGGUAAUGAACAUCGAUAUACUAAAGAUGGCUUCUACUGGAGUGGUUAUAUUUGUAUGAAGAACCCAAAAUAUUCCAACCACAGGAGGGUGACUAAGAUACAGCAUACAGGAGGGUGACUAAGAUACAGCAUACAGGAGGGUGACUAAGAUACAGCAUACAGGAGGGUGACUAAGAUACAGCAUACAGGAGUGUGACUAAGAUACAGCAUACAGGAGGGUGACUAAGAUACAGCAUACAGGAGGGUGACUAAGAUACAGCAUAUAGGAGGAUGACUAAGAUACAGCAUACAGGAGGGUGACUAAGAUACAGCAUACAGGAGGGUGACUAAGAUAGAGGAUACAGGAGGGUGACUAAGAUACAGCAUACAGGAGGGUGACUAAGAUACAACAUACAGGAGGGUGACUAAGAUACAACAUACAGGAGGGUGACUAAGAUACAGCAUACAGGAGGGUGACUAAAAUACAGCAUACAGGAGGAUGAAUGACCAUAGAUUGUUAACCCAAAGUGUAACUGCUGCUCUAUGCUAAACAGAAGCUUACAAUUAAGUCACAGCCUGAGCAACAUAAAGAAAUGGUGGUUGUCUCACGCUGACCAAUUGGCAGACUACCUCCAAGAAAGCUCCAUCUAAAGUCCCUGACAUGAAAUAAAACACUUGAACAUA